rnacentral:rRNA from 1 species
GGGUUGUGAGGUUAAGCGACUAAGCGUACACGGUGGAUGCCCUGGCAGUCAGAGGCGAUGAAGGGCGUGCUAAUCUGCGAUAAGCGCCGGUAAGGUGAUAUGAACCGUUAUAACCGGCGAUACCCGAAUGGGGAAACCCAGUGUGAUUCGUCACACUAUCAUUAACUGAAUCCAUAGGUUAAUGAGGCGAACCGGGGGAACUGAAACAUCUAAGUACCCCGAGGAAAAGAAAUCAACCGAGAUUCCCCCAGUAGCGGCGAGCGAACGGGGAGGAGCCCAGAGCCUGAAUCAGCAUGUGUGUUAGUGGAAGCGUCUGGAAAGGCGCGCGAUACAGGGUGACAGCCCCGUACACAAAAGCGCAUGUGCUGUGAGCUCGAUGAGUAGGGCGGGACACGUGGUAUCCUGUCUGAAUAUGGGGGGACCAUCCUCCAAGGCUAAAUACUCCUGACUGACCGAUAGUGAACCAGUACCGUGAGGGAAAGGCGAAAAGAACCCCGGCGAGGGGAGUGAAAAAGAACCUGAAACCGUGUACGUACAAGCAGUGGGAGCACAGGUUUACCUGUGUGACUGCGUACCUUUUGUAUAAUGGGUCAGCGACUUAUAUUCUGUAGCAAGGUUAACCGUAUAGGGGAGCCGGAGGGAAACCGAGUCUUAAUUGGGCGUUAAGUUGCAGGGUAUAGACCCGAAACCCGGUGAUCUAGCCAUGGGCAGGUUGAAGGUUGGGUAACACUAACUGGAGGACCGAACCGACUAAUGUUGAAAAAUUAGCGGAUGACCUGUGGCUGGGGGUGAAAGGCCAAUCAAACCGGGAGAUAGCUGGUUCUCCCCGAAAGCUAUUUAGGUAGCGCCUCGUGAAUUCAUCUCCGGGGGUAGAGCACUGUUUCGGCUAGGGGGCCAUCCCGGCUUACCAACCCGAUGCAAACUGCGAAUACCGGAGAAUGUUAUCACGGGAGACACACGGCGGGUGCUAACGUCCGUCGUGAAGAGGGAAACAACCCAGACCGCCAGCUAAGGUCCCAAAGUCAUGGUUAAGUGGGAAACGAUGUGGGAAGGCCCAGACAGCCAGGAUGUUGGCUUAGAAGCAGCCAUCAUUUAAAGAAAGCGUAAUAGCUCACUGGUCGAGUCGGCCUGCGCGGAAGAUGUAACGGGGCUAAACCAUGCACCGAAGCUGCGGCAGCGACGCUGAUGCGUUGUUGGGUAGGGGAGCGUUCUGUAAGCCUGCGAAGGUGACCUGUGAGGGUUGCUGGAGGUAUCAGAAGUGCGAAUGCUGACAUAAGUAACGAUAAAGCGGGUGAAAAGCCCGCUCGCCGGAAGACCAAGGGUUCCUGUCCAACGUUAAUCGGGGCAGGGUGAGUCGACCCCUAAGGCGAGGCCGAAAGGCGUAGUCGAUGGGAAACGGGUUAAUAUUCCCGUACUUGGUGUUACUGCGAAGGGGGGACGGAGAAGGCUAUGUUGGCCGGGCGACGGUUGUCCCGGUUUAAGCGUGUAGGUGUGUGUUCCAGGUAAAUCCGGUUCACUUUAACACUGAGGCGUGACGACGAGGCACUACGGUGCUGAAGCAACAAAUGCCCUGCUUCCAGGAAAAGCCUCUAAGCAUCAGGUAACAUCAAAUCGUACCCCAAACCGACACAGGUGGUCAGGUAGAGAAUACCAAGGCGCUUGAGAGAACUCGGGUGAAGGAACUAGGCAAAAUGGUGCCGUAACUUCGGGAGAAGGCACGCUGACACGUAGGUGAAGUGAUUUACUCAUGGAGCUGAAGUCAGUCGAAGAUACCAGCUGGCUGCAACUGUUUAUUAAAAACACAGCACUGUGCAAACACGAAAGUGGACGUAUACGGUGUGACGCCUGCCCGGUGCCGGAAGGUUAAUUGAUGGGGUCAGCGCAAGCGAAGCUCCUGAUCGAAGCCCCGGUAAACGGCGGCCGUAACUAUAACGGUCCUAAGGUAGCGAAAUUCCUUGUCGGGUAAGUUCCGACCUGCACGAAUGGCGUAAUGAUGGCCAGGCUGUCUCCACCCGAGACUCAGUGAAAUUGAACUCGCUGUGAAGAUGCAGUGUACCCGCGGCAAGACGGAAAGACCCCGUGAACCUUUACUAUAGCUUGACACUGAACAUUGAGCCUUGAUGUGUAGGAUAGGUGGGAGGCUUUGAAGUGUGGACGCCAGUCUGCAUGGAGCCGACCUUGAAAUACCACCCUUUAAUGUUUGAUGUUCUAACGUGGACCCGUAAUCCGGGUUGCGGACAGUGUCUGGUGGGUAGUUUGACUGGGGCGGUCUCCUCCUAAAGAGUAACGGAGGAGCACGAAGGUUGGCUAAUCCUGGUCGGACAUCAGGAGGUUAGUGCAAUGGCAUAAGCCAGCUUGACUGCGAGCGUGACGGCGCGAGCAGGUGCGAAAGCAGGUCAUAGUGAUCCGGUGGUUCUGAAUGGAAGGGCCAUCGCUCAACGGAUAAAAGGUACUCCGGGGAUAACAGGCUGAUACCGCCCAAGAGUUCAUAUCGACGGCGGUGUUUGGCACCUCGAUGUCGGCUCAUCACAUCCUGGGGCUGAAGUAGGUCCCAAGGGUAUGGCUGUUCGCCAUUUAAAGUGGUACGCGAGCUGGGUUUAGAACGUCGUGAGACAGUUCGGUCCCUAUCUGCCGUGGGCGCUGGAGAACUGAGGGGGGCUGCUCCUAGUACGAGAGGACCGGAGUGGACGCAUCACUGGUGUUCGGGUUGUCAUGCCAAUGGCACUGCCCGGUAGCUAAAUGCGGAAGAGAUAAGUGCUGAAAGCAUCUAAGCACGAAACUUGCCCCGAGAUGAGUUCUCCCUGAGACUUAGAGUCUCCUGAAGGAACGUUGAAGACGACGACGUUGAUAGGCCGGGUGUGUAAGCGCAGCGAUGCGUUGAGCUAACCGGUACUAAUGAACCGUGAGGCUUAACCUUACAACGCCGAAG